rnacentral:misc_RNA from 1 species
GCUGUAACGGUUAUUGCAAUUGAAGCUGUGUGCGUGGUGUAUUUGAUACGCUGGUUGAACCGUAGACUUGCUCGUGAAGUAGAUAAAGCAAAACCGGACGGGUCGCUAUCGUCUACUGAGGAUUUCGAUUUCUCGUUGUACCUGAAACAGGGGACAGUCUGGGUUCUAGAAUCUGAAAGAAUACCAAAGGCUCUUCCAGUGGAUAAAGCCGUGACGCAGCAAAAAAGCAAGAAGGAGGUCUUAGAGGUUACACCUACUCAGAAAUUUGCACAAAUCAAGGAUCAUCAUCUCGUAUUUACAGAGUCAGAUGGUUCCCAUGUAGAAAUUCCACUGAAAGGUUGCAUAAUAGCAGCUGUUUCAGCGUCAAGCUUGUCCACUAGAAAAUGGGCGAAAAGAUAUCCUAUCAAAAUAGAGUGCAGAGCAUCAACUUCAUGUGAAGGAAGUAGAAUACUGUACAUUUAUCUUGAGACAUGUUGGGAGAAAGAAGCAUGGUGCAAAUCCCUUCGUCUUGCUUCCUGCGAGGACCAAGUAAAACUUACGUGGUUUGCCAAGUUGAACAUAGAGUUUCAAAAUUACCUGACGUCAUUAAAUGCAGGUUAUCCUUCAUUUAUGAAACCGUAUUCAAGUGUUAGUCCUGAUUUAGGUGAUAAAUCAAGUAAGUUUGAUGGUUCCUCAUCAAAAGUUCG